rnacentral:rRNA from 1 species
UCAAGCUAUAAAGAGCGUAGGGAGAAUGACUUGGCAUCAGGAGCCGAAGAAGGACGUGACAAGCUGCGAAAAGCUGCGGUUAGGAGCAAAUAUCCAUAGACCCGCAGAUAUCCGAAUGGGGAAACCCGGUACGGCAAUACCGUAUCACUGCAUGGUAAAUACAUAGCCAUGUGGAGGAAACCCUCUGAACUGAAACAUCUAAGUAGGAGGAGGAAGAGAAAGAAACAUCGAUUUCCUAAGUAGCGGCGAGCGAAAGGGAAAGAGGCCAAACCAGAGAUAGCAAUAUCUUUGGGGUUGCGGACUGCAAAAUUGAUUCAAUAUUUUUAGCAGAAGUGUAUGGGAAGACACACCAUAGUAGGUAAUAGUCCUGUAAGCGAAAAGGAUAUUGACAAGGCAGGAUCCAGAGUACCACCGGACACGAGGAACCCGGUGGGAAGCCGGGGGGACCACCCCCCAAGCCUAAAUACUACCUGAUGACCGAUAGUGAAAAGUACAGUGAUGGAAAGUUGAAAAGAACCCCGGAAGGGGAGUGAAAAAGAAUCUGAAACCCUAUGUUUACAAGCUGCUAAAGCACCGUAUGAGUGCGAUAGCGUACUUUUUGUAGAACGGUCCGGCGAGUGUAUGUUGCAAGCGAGGUUAAGGUGUUAAGCACUGAAGCCGAAGGGAGACCGAGUGUGAAUAGCGCGUACAGUUUGCAGUAUACGACCCGAAACCGGGUGACCUAACCAUGGACAGGUUGAAGUGGAAGUAAAAUUCCAUGGAGGACCGAACCCACGUCUGUUGAAAAAGGCGGGGAUGAGCUGUGGUUAGCGGUGAAAUUCCAAUCGAACUCGGAUAUAGCUGGUUCUCAUCGAAAUAGCUUUAGGGCUAGCCUCAGGAUAGUUUAGCGGAGGUAAAGCACUGAAUGGGCUAGGGGGCUUCACGGCUUACCGAACCCUAUCAAACUCUGAAUGCCGCAUAAAUGUUUCCUGGGAGUCAGACUGCGUGAGAUAAGUUUCGUAGUCAAAAGGGAAAGAGCCCAGACCUACAGCUAAGGUCCCUAAAUGAAUUUAAGUGGAAAAGGAUGUGCAGUUGCGUAGACAACUAGGACGUUGGCUUAGAAGCAGCCACUCAUUUAAAGAGUGCGUAAUAGCUCACUAGUCGAGUGAUUGUGCGCCGAAAAUGUAACGGGGCUAAAAUUCAUACCGAAGCUUAGGAAUGAUAGUAAUAUUGUUGGUAGAUGAGCGUUGUGUAAGCCUGAGAAGCUACACCGAAAGGAGUAGUGGAGGUAUCACAAGUGAGAAUGCCGGAAUGAGUAGCGAGAAUUAUGUGAGAAUCAUAAUGGUCGAAAAUCUAAGGUUUCUUGAGGAAGGUUCGUCCGCUCAAGGUAAGCCGGGAGCUAAGGCGAGGCCGAGAGGCGUAGUCGAUGCACAUACGGUAAAGAUUCCGUAGCCGCCGAAGUCGUUAAAUACAGGGACACAGGAACAUAGCCUAACCCCACCGUUGGUUGAGUGGGGCGUAAGGGAGCGAAAAUUAGUAGCGAAGUGGGUGAUUGUACACUGGCGAGAAAAGCUGUAUGAAUUGACCAGGUGCCCGUACCGCAAACCGACACAGGUAGAUGAGGAGAGAAUCCUAAGACCAGCGGGAGAAGUGUUGUUAAGGAACUCGGCAAAAUGACCCCGUAACUUCGGGAUAAGGGGAGCCUACGAGAGUAGGCCGCAGAGAAUAGUCUCAAGCGACUGUUUAGCAAAAACACAGGUCUAUGCUAAAUCGAAAGAUGAUGUAUAUGGGCUGACGCCUGCCCGGUGCUGGAAGGUUAAGGGGAAGUGUUAGAGCAAUCGAAGCACUGAACUUAAGCCCCAGUAAACGGCGGCCGUAACUAUAACGGUCCUAAGGUAGCGAAAUUCCUUGUCAGGUAAGUUCUGACCCGC